GAAGUUUGGUGAUUAUGCUGAGAGAAAUUCUUGUUUACCUUGCUGCAGCCAGGGACCAGCUCUUGAAGGAACUUCAUCCUGGCGUUGAUCUUCUCUCUCCUUGCCUGAAUUAGUUAGGCAAUCAGUAGUUUUAACUGUUAAUGACUGAUUAAUUUUAUUAAUUAAGCUUUGGCGAAUCCUUACUCUCUCUGCUAAGCUGUGGCUGUCUGUAGCUUGACCACGGCGAGCUCGAACGUGAACGUAAGGUAGCUUCUCGCCGGAAUCCUCCUUCGUGUUGCAUUUGCUCUUCUUUGAGGAAGCUUUAACCUGAGACGUAGAGAGAGAGAUUAAUUUCGUGAUAUGAAUUGUAGGUUUCGAAACUGAAUCCUCAGCUGAAAUUGAUACUCUAGGAACCCUAAUUUUUUUGCUCUCUAACCUUCCUCUCCUGCUCCUUCCUCUUAGCUCCCUGCCGUCGAUUCUCGUCAUUUUUCGCUACCGUCGGCGACGAAUUGAGUCGGGUCUCGGCAGGCUCGCUCUUGACAACGACUGCCUUCCCGAGAACAUUCGAGCAGGAAUCAUCAUCAUCAUUAGGGGAAGGGUCAAUUGUGGC
rnacentral:lncRNA from 1 species